GACGAACGCUAGCGGCAGGCUUAAUACAUGCAAGUCGAGGGGCAGCAUGAUUGUAGCAAUACAAUUGAUGGCGACCGGCAAACGGGUGCGGAACACGUACACAACCUCCCAAUAAGUGGGGAAUAGCCCAGAGAAAUUUGGAUUAAUACCCCGUAACAUAACGAUGUGGCAUCACAUUGUUAUUAUAGAUUUUUCGCUUAUUGAUGGGUGUGCGGCUGAUUAGAUAGUUGGCGGGGUAACGGCCCACCAAGUCUACGAUCAGUAGCUGAUGUGAGAGCAUGAUCAGCCACACGGGCACUGAGACACGGGCCCGACUCCUACGGGAGGCAGCAGUAAGGAAUAUUGGACAAUGGACGCAAGUCUGAUCCAGCCAUGCCGCGUGAAGGAUUAAGGUCCUCUGGAUUGUAAACUUCUUUUAUAAGGGACGAAAAAAGGCUUUUCUAAGUCGUCUGACGGUACCUUAUGAAUAAGCACCGGCUAACUCCGUGCCAGCAGCCGCAGUAA
rnacentral:rRNA from 1 species